rnacentral:rRNA from 1 species
GACGAACGCUGGCGGCGUGCUUAACACAUGCAAGUCGAACGGAAAGGCCCCUUUGGGGGUACUCGAGUGGCGAACGGGUGAGUAACACGUGAGUAACCUGCCCUUGACUUCGGGAUAACUUCAGGAAACUGGGGCUAAUACCGGCUAGGAAUCCUUGCUGCAUGGUGGGGGUUGGAAAGCUUCGGCGGUUUUGGAUGGACUCGCGGCUUAUCAGCUUGUUGGUGGGGUAGUGGCUUACCAAGGCUUUGACGGGUAGCCGGCCUGAGAGGGCGACCGGCCACAUUGGGACUGAGAUACGGCCCAGACUCCUACGGGAGGCAGCAGUGGGGAAUAUUGCACAAGGGGCGGAAGCCUGAUGCAGCAACGCCGCGUGCGGGAUGACGGCCUUCGGGUUGUAAACCGCUUUCAGCAGGGGCGAAGCUUGUGGUGACGGUACCUGCAGAAGAAGCACCGGCUAACUACGUG